rnacentral:rRNA from 1 species
CUUCGGAGGUACUCGAGUGGCGAACGGGUGAGUAACACGUGAGUAACCUGCCCUUGACUUUGGGAUAACUUCAGGAAACUGGGGCUAAUACCGGAUAGGAGCUCCUGCUGCAUGGUGGGGGUUGGAAAGUUUCGGCGGUUGGGGAUGGACUCGCGGCUUAUCAGCUUGUUGGUGGGGUAGUGGCUUACCAAGGCUUUGACGGGUAGCCGGCCUGAGAGGGUGACCGGCCACAUUGGGACUGAGAUACGGCCCAG